UCAGCUGUGACACACAAUUUAAUAUUAGCUGAAAGCAAGAUUUCCUGUUUUCUAGCUAAUCUAAAAUCGCAUGGUUUAGUGGAUUCCCCCCACUUGUUCUACUAUAUCUUUGCAGGCACACCCACCUGCCUGGACAUCAUCAUGUCCUUUUUUGACGCUCUGUGCAUGCGCAGAAGAUCCUGAGCAUGCAGGGAGGUGGUGCGGGCACUCACUUUUGCGAACGGGUAGCAAAGCAAUAUGACAUAUUUAGGGUGCCAUCAAACUAUUAUUUCAAGACAUCUUCUGAAGUACUCUCACCAAGUCAUUCCCCACCUGUCUUUUCUUUCCUAAGUGAAGAACCUUGCACUUAUCUUGUUAAAUGUUUCAGUUAGUUUCAACUUAUUACUUCAAGAUAUAUAUUUUUAUUUUUUAACUCCUGAGAAUACCAUGGAGAGUCAAGAAAACAAACCAUUGAACAACUCAACCCAGUCUUCCCUCAACCAGGUUCAAAUUAUCCUACUUUGAACACAUUGUGGAAGAAGAGGAUGGCCAGCAGCAAAGUGGAUGGACUGAGUUACAACAUGAAAAGGACACCACUGGAACAUGUGAAGAAAGUCUGGGUGUUUGUAAGUGUUGACACUGUCUUGCUGGCACAUGACCAAUCUGUCUUCUAAGGAAUGAGCUAUUCCAUUUUAAAUUUGAUAAGCAUUUCCCCACUUCUUCAUCCAAAUAAUUAAUGGAAAUAUAUCUGGAAAUAAUAAUUAUUUUUGGCCAUGUUGUGCAAGUGAGUUCAGAUCAUCAAAGAACACAGUGGGUAGACAUCAUCAAAGUUGACCCCAGCCAGACCACAGAAUAACUAAAAGAAGUAGUGGAAGAUCACCGUCAAUAUAUU